GUAGGUGAACCUGCGGAAGGAUCAUUGCUGAGAGAGGGGCUUCGCGCUCCCGGGGUUUCGGCCCUAUCCUCUUCACCCAUUGUAUACUAUACCUUUGUUGCUUUGGCGGACCUUGGGUCUCCCCACUCCGGCUUUCUCGCCGGGGAGUGUCCGUCAGAGGCCCAUCAAAACCCAUUGUAUCAGUGAUGUCCGAGUUAAAACAUAAUAAUAAAAACUUUCAACAACGGAUCUCUUGGUUCCA
rnacentral:misc_RNA from 1 species